CCAAGGGGACAGCAGAUAGCAGCUCCUGUGACACAUUUCUCAGAGUUCGGCUGCUUCUUCUCGGAUCUCAGUGCCUGGACACCUGGUCUUUCUGAGCUCAGAAAAGUGAUCUCUUCCCGAACUGUAAACAUUUGUUCUUUAUGCCUAUAGGUUGUUGAUUUUGUAAAACCUUCUUUUUCCUGGCCCUCAUUCCCUUGAUGAGGUCUGUGCUCCGUGAGGCCGCCGACGUCCGGACAAUGCAGGGGCUGGGCACUGUUCUCUGCUCAGUGGGAAUGGCUGCUUAACAAGCUGUCCGACAGAGGGAUGGCCCCAGGAAGCAGGUGGGGCCCAGGUCGCAGUCCCUUGAAGGAAAUGUGUGUUUGACCUUCGCUGAGCUGGCAGAGUUGCCGCCUGUAGGCCUGUCCACAGCUGCCUGGGAAACGCACCCCGCUGGCCGGAGGAGAGAGCCCCGCGUGGUGGCAGGCUUCCGGGAGGGCCGCACAGCCCAGGGCAGCUAGGAAGCCCCGUUCGGUUGCAGCCUGUCGAUAGGCAUUCAGCGCAGGUGUAAAGCUCUGGUUCGUGUAGUGAAGUCCUUUCUACCGCUGAACUUGACCAUGUUUCCGUAGCUCUGCCUCAGCUCGAUACAGAAGCCAAGUCUGGUGAAACCUGAGUAGGCGUGAUGCUCCCUGACCCAUUUCCACGGAGGAGGGGCGUGCCGGCGAGGAAGGGGCGUGCCGGCGAGGAAGGGCCGAGCAGGAGGAGAGCUGCAGAGAGAAGAGGGCAAACCCUGCUGACACCUAUGCCAUCCUACCUGGUUCGCAGGGAGCUAACCCGAGCCUUGGACGUCUUGGCUUCCAGAACGUCUUCCGACAAACCCUUCAGGCAGAACUGUCCCGCAGGCCGUGGCCCUCGGUGUCUACCUGGUCCGCCGUAAGAAUUGUUCAAACAUGUGACGCAUGACUAUUUAGUCAGGGCCACUGACCGCUUUCCCAUCAUUGACAGCCUUGAUGUUCAGAAAUGCUUGCUUCCUAAGCUGAGUCUCUGGGAUCACGGACAAUAAAACCUGGCGUGGCCAUUUACCUCGCACUCAACCAUCUCUUCGCGUGACCUAGGCCAACCCCGCUGCCU